GAUGAACGCUGGCGGCGUGCCUAAUACAUGCAAGUCGAACGAAACUUCUUUAUCACCGAGUGCUUGCACUCACCGAUAAAGAGUUGAGUGGCGAACGGGUGAGUAACACGUGGGCAACCUGCCCAAAAGAGGGGGAUAACACUUGGAAACAGGUGCUAAUACCGCAUAACCAUAGUUACCGCAUGGUAACUAUGUAAAAGGUGGCUAUACUACCGCUUUUGGAUGGGCCCGCGGCGCAUUAGCUAGUUGGUAGGGUAAAGGCUUACCAAGGCAAUGAUGCGUAGCCGAAUUGAGAGGUUGAUCGGCCACAUUGGGACUGAGACACGGCACAAACUCCUACGGGAGGCAGCAGUAGGGAAUCUUCCACAAUGGGCGAAAGCCUGAUGGAGCAACGCCGCGUGGGUGAAGAAGGUCUUCGGAUCGUAAAACCCUGUUGUUAGAGAAGAAAGUGCGUGAGAGUAACUGUUCACGUUUCGACGGUAUCUAACCAGAAAGCCACGGCUAACUACGUG
rnacentral:rRNA from 1 species